AACGAACGCUGGCGGCAUGCCUAACACAUGCAAGUCGAACGAGACCUUCGGGUCUAGUGGCGCACGGGUGCGUAACGCGUGGGAACCUGCCCUUAGGUUCGGAAUAACUCCCCGAAAGGGGUGCUAAUACCGGAUAAUGUCUUCGGACCAAAGAUUUUUCGCCUUUGGAUGGGCCCGCGUUGGAUUAGCUAGUUGGUAGGGUAAAAGCCUACCAAGGCGACGAUCCAUAGCUGGUCUGAGAGGAUGAUCAGCCACACUGGGACUGAGACACGGCCCAGACUCCUACGGGAAGCAGCAGUGGGGAAUAUUGGACAAUGGGCGAAAGCCUGAUCCAGCAAUGCCGCGUGAGUGAUGAAGGCCUUAGGGUUGUAAAGCUCUUCUACCCGGGAUGAUAAUGACAGUACCGGGAGAAUAAGCUCCGGCUAACUCCGUG
rnacentral:rRNA from 1 species